ACUUCAGACACAGGAGGAACUCACAGGUCUCUGCACGAGCCUGCUCUGGAAAAUGGCGACAACCUCAGCCCUGAAGUUUGCAUCAACUCAAGACAAACUGCCUCCAGACAGGAUGAAGAGAAAGAUGGAAACAAGGGUGGGUGGUUGGAAGGCUGGAUAAAGGCUGCUAGAUGACUGAACUCAGAGACCCGGUGCAGCUCAUCAUCAUUGCCAUGGGCUUUCGUCUUCCUCCUCUCCUCCUGUGGCCCGUACCUCCAUCCAGGGGUCCAGCAGAGCCAGCGCAGCCCAGGCGGGGAGCUAGUGAGUGGGCUGGGAAGGAUGGAGAAAGUCCCUGAAGGCUCGAAGCACCUCUGGAGCUACCGGCAUGCAGGAGAAAUCGAUAUGAAACACAGAGCCUGCACAGCUCUGAGUGGGGUUUCCUGUGUUAGUCUGUGGCCUAGGGGCCCGCAGACCUCCAAAGGACAGGCCCUGCGUGGCCCUCUCAGCUGCAGCCCUGGCUCCUCACACUGGACCUGAUCUCCACUGGCUGUGUGUGGUUCUGCUGAAGGGGAUCUCUCCCCAAAUAAUACCCAGAAUGCAGAGAGACCGCCGACAGGGAUAUUCCUAUCUCUUGAUUUUUUCCCCCCUUCAUAAGAUUGACAUAUCCCCCACCUUCUGCCUCUGGCUGUUUUAAAAACCAGUUUGGGAGUUCUGCUUUUGACUCACUCUCCAUCCUCGACCCGCCCGUUGUUUAUUCCCCAACCAGUUUUUACAUUUGACAAAGAGACAGUACGAUCUUUAUUUUCUCCUCCACUCUUGGCUUGCUGUUACUAUGGUGAGCUGUAGACAUGUGUCUGUUAAAACCAGAAACACUGGCACAUAAAGUAUGAUCGACUUUUCUUUUUUUUUUUUCCAUGAUGCCUCUUAUUCCAUUCCUGACCGUUUAAAAUAAAACUGACUGAACAUUAAA